rnacentral:rRNA from 1 species
CUGUGAGCUCGAUGAGUAGGGCGGGACACGUGGUAUCCUGUCUGAAUAUGGGGGGACCAUCCUCCAAGGCUAAAUACUCCUGACUGACCGAUAGUGAACCAGUACCGUGAGGGAAAGGCGAAAAGAACCCCGGCGAGGGGAGUGAAAAAGAACCUGAAACCGUGUACGUACAAGCAGUGGGAGCACAGAGCAAUCUGUGUGACUGCGUACCUUUUGUAUAAUGGGUCAGCGACUUAUAUUCUGUAGCAAGGUUAACCGAAUAGGGGAGCCGAAGGGAAACCGAGUCUUAACUGGGCGUUAAGUUGCAGGGUAUAGACCCGAAACCCGGUGAUCUAGCCAUGGGCAGGUUGAAGGUUGGGUAACACUAACUGGAGGACCGAACCGACUAAUGUUGAAAAAUUAGCGGAUGACUUGUGGCUGGGGGUGAAAGGCCAAUCAAACCGGGAGAUAGCUGGUUCUCCCCGAAAGCUAUUUAGGUAGCGCCUCGUGAAUUCAUCUCCGGGGGUAGAGCACUGUUUCGGCAAGGGGGUCAUCCCGACUUACCAACCCGAUGCAAACUGCGAAUACCGGAGAAUGUUAUCACGGGAGACACACGGCGGGUGCUAACGUCCGUCGUGAAGAGGGAAACAACCCAGACCGCCAGCUAAGGUCCCAAAGUCAUGGUUAAGUGGGAAACGAUGUGGGAAGGCCCAGACAGCCAGGAUGUUGGCUUAGAAGCAGCCAUCAUUUAAAGAAAGCGUAAUAGCUCACUGGUCGAGUCGGCCUGCGCGGAAGAUGUAACGGGGCUAAACCAUGCAC